rnacentral:rRNA from 1 species
UACGUAGGGGGCAAGCGUUGUCCGGAUUUAUUGGGCGUAAAGAGCGUGUAGGCGGCCAGGUAGGUCUGCUGUGAAAACUCGAGGCUCAACCUCGAGACGUCGGCGGAAACCAUCUGGCUAGAGUCCGGAAGAGGAGAGUGGAAUUCCGGGUGUAGCGGUGAAAUGCGCAGAUAUCAGGAAGAACACCCGUGGCGAAGGCGGCUCUCUGGGACGGUACUGACGCUGAGACGCGAAAGCGUGGGGAGCAAACAGG